GCCUGAUGCAGCCAUGCCGCGUGAGUGAAGAAGGCCUUAGGGUUGUAAAACUCUUUUAGAUGUGAAGAUGAUGACGGUAACAUCAGAAAAAGCCCCGGCUAACUUCGUGCCAGCAGCCGCGGUAAUA
rnacentral:rRNA from 1 species